rnacentral:lncRNA from 1 species
GAAACUGAAACUUGUGUGGUUUUCUGGGAUGCUUGUGUGAAGAAGAUGGAGGUAGAAGGUGGCUAUUUAUAGGAGGAAGGAAGGGCAGGGCGGGCGCCCUUGGUAGGUGGGUGGGCGCCCACUUGUGGUGCUCAUCCUGGCUGCCCUUUCUCCACUCCCUCCCUUGCUUAAUUCUUACGCAAAAUAAUAGAUCAAUGGUGGUGGUUAGUCGGUGGAAAAGUGCUGGUG